rnacentral:rRNA from 1 species
AACGAACGCUGGCGGCGUGCUUAACACAUGCAAGUCGAACGGAAAGGCCCGGCUUUUGUUGGGUGCGCGAGUGGCGAACGGGUGAGAAACACGUGAGUAACCUGCCCUUUACUUUGGGGUAACUUCAGGAAACUGGGGCUAAUACCGGAUAGGAGCUCCUGCUGCAUGGUGGGGGUUGGAAAGUUUCGGCGGUGGGGGAUGGACUCGCGGCUUAUCAGCUUGUUGGUGGGGUAGUGGCUUACCAAGGCUUUGACGGAUAGCCGGCCUGAGAGGGUGACCGGCGACAUUAGGCCUACGGUACGGCCCAGACGCCUACGGGAGGCAGAGGUGGGGAAUAUGGCACAGUGGGCGGAAGCCUGAUGAAGCAACGCCGCGUGCGGGAUGACGGUCUGUGGGUUGUAAACCGCUUUCGCCUGUGACGAAGCGUGAGUGACGGUAAUGGGUAAAGAAGCACCGGCUAACUACGUG